AACUGUCGAGGCUUGGGUCAACCUCGUACAGUUCAAGAGUUGGUGUGCCUCUCAAAGACGCACAUACCCAAUAUUAUCUUUUUAUCUGAAACAAGAAAGAAUAAAGAGUAUGUUGAGAGCUUGCGCUGUAGGUUGGGUAUGAAUAAUGUUUUUACUGUUUCUGGCCAUGGUAAAGGUGGCCAUGGUAAAGGUGGUGGACUAGCUGUGUUUUGGGAUGAGGCGUACUCUUGUGAGCUGAACAAAUAUGGUGACCACUUUAUUGAUUUGUACGUCGACAAGGGAGAGGGAACAAAGUGGAGGUGCACCUUCAUUUACGGUGAGCCUAAGACGAGUCAAAGGUAUGUUAUGUGGGAUCUCUUGAGAUGGAUUAAACCUCUUGGUGUUGGAGCUUGGUUUAUGGUGGGGGAUUUUAACGAAGCUAUGUGGCAAGAAGAGCACUACUCUCAUCAUAAGAGGUCUACUAGACUAAUGGCUAAUUUUCGUGAAGCUUUGUCUGAUUGCAAUUUAUAUGACUUGGGUUACCAUGGCGUGCCUUGGACGUAUAAUAACAAACAAGAUGGAAACAAGAAUGUUAAGGUGCGUCUUGAUCGUGUGGUGGCAUGCCCGCUUUGGUCUUCAAUGUUCCCUCGAUGUAAGGUAUCCCAUAGUAAGCUCCAGGUCUGA
rnacentral:rRNA from 1 species